GCCCGGAUGGCUCAGUCGGUAGAGCAUCAGGCUUUUAACCUGAGGGUCCAGGGUUCGAGUCCCUGUUCGGGCG
rnacentral:tRNA from 1 species